rnacentral:rRNA from 1 species
GACGAACGCUGGCGGCGUGCUUAACACAUGCAAGGCGAACGGAAAGGCCCUGCGGGUGUGGGGUGCUCGAGGGGCGAACGGGGGAGGAAAACGGGAGGAACCUGCCCUGGACUGUGGGAGAACUUCAGGAAACUGGGGCGAAUACCGGAUAGGAGCUCCUGCUGCAUGGGGGGGGUUGGAAAGUUUCGGCGGUGGGGGAUGGACUCGCGGCUUAGCAGCUUGUUGGUGGGGUAGUGGCUUACCAAGGCUUUGACGGGUAGCCGGCCUGAGAGGGUGACCGGCCACAUUGUGCCUGCGAUCCGUCCCAGCCUCCUCCGGGAGGCAGCAGUGGGGAAUAUUGCACAAUGGGCGGAAGCCUGCUGCAGCAACGCCGCGUGCGGGAUGACGGCCUUCGGGUUGUCAACCGCUUUCGCCUGUGACGAAGCGUGAGUGACGGUAAUGGGUAAAGAAGCACCGGCUAACUACGUG